rnacentral:snoRNA from 1 species
ACCCCCAUCGUUAAGUCAAGACUCUCCUGGGUCCUAGGACCGUUUACCCAUGAGGAGCAGCCUGUUACAACUUUGGAAGAUCAAAUGUCCGCCUAACCAUAAUCCGCCCGUUUUGGGGGGAUUCCUGGCGGAACGUUGGUUCGUUUUGAGUUGAGUUCUGAAGACGCAAGUCGCUCCAUUUCAGCAACUCUUAGUUAUGAACCAUACACUU